GUCUUCCAAGAGGCUGCACACUCAGGGAGGAAGGGCUGCAAUGACUCGGCUUCCAGGCAGCUGCGGGGGUUCUCAGGAGCUGCUGUGUGUCGGCCUCAGCUCCCCACUGAGCCACAACCCCCUCUUCCCUGGGACACACGAAUGGAACCAGAGCCUUGGUGCCCAGGACAGGGUGAGAGCUCCAGUUAGAGCGGCCAAGGUGGGAACAAAACCACUAUUCCUCCUUCAAGAUUGGAAGUAUCCACCUCUGGGAUCUGCUUUCUUGUGUGUUGACCUCGUUUCUCAAAUGGCUGAGUGAUACUCAAUGGU